rnacentral:rRNA from 1 species
CUAGCCGUAAACGAUGGAUACUAGGCGUUGUGAGUAUCGACCCUCACAGUGUCGUAGCUAACGCGUUAAGUAUCCCGCCUGGGGAGUACGCGCGCAAGCGUGAAACUCAAAGGAAUUGACGGGGGCCCGCACAAGCGGUGGAGUAUGUGGUUUAAUUCGAUGCAACGCGAAGAACCUUACCAGGACCUGACAUGUCGCGAAUCUCAGGGAAACUUGAGAGUGCCUUCGGGAGCGCGAACACAGGUGGUGC